UUAAUGAGGCGAACCGGGGGAACUGAAACAUCUAAGUACCCCGAGGAAAAGAAAUCAACCGAGAUUCCCCCAGUAGCGGCGAGCGAACGGGGAGGAGCCCAGAGCCUGAAUCAGCAUGUGUGUUAGUGGAAGCGUCUGGAAAGGCGCGCGAUACAGGGUGACAGCCCCGUACACAAAAGCGCAUGUGCUGUGAGCUCGAUGAGUAGGGCGGGACACGUGGUAUCCUGUCUGAAUAUGGGGGGACCAUCCUCCAAGGCUAAAUACUCCUGACUGACCGAUAGUGAACCAGUACCGUGAGGGAAAGGCGAAAAGAACCCCGGCGAGGGGAGUGAAAAAGAACCUGAAACCGUGUACGUACAAGCAGUGGGAGCACCCUUCGGGGUGUGACUGCGUACCUUUUGUAUAAUGGGUCAGCGACUUAUAUUCUGUAGC
rnacentral:rRNA from 1 species